CUCUUCUUUAAAUGCCGGUUUACCCUGUGUAUUUGGAGAAUGGUCAAAGCAUGGCUUGGACUUGGGGCGCUGGAGAUGAACAUGUGGACGACGGAACACAACAUCAAGUGUUGGUGGACAAACAUGUCCAAACCAACUACAACAAACAGGAAGGCCAUGGCGUCACUUACCAUGCUUGUAUGUUGGGUCAUCUGGAAUGAGAGAAACGCUAGAGUCUUCCGAAAGAAAUCGACGCCGCCAUACUACAUUCUAAAACUCAUCUAGGAGGAGGCCAGAACGUGGGUCACCGCGGGGGCUAGACAUCUGAGUAUCAUCAUGCAGCGAGAGUAA
rnacentral:rRNA from 1 species